rnacentral:rRNA from 1 species
AGCGCACGCCGCGUGGGGGAUGAAGGCUCUCGGGUUGUAAACCCCUUUCAGCAGGGACGAAUUUUGACGGUACCUGCAGAAGAAGCCCCGGCUAACUACGUGCCAGCAGCCGCGGUAACACGUAGGGGGCAAGCGUUGUCCGGAUUUAUUGGGCGUAAAGAGCUCGUAGGUGGCUGAGUAAGUCGGAUGUUAAAUCUCCAGGCUCAACCUGGAACACCACCCGAUACUGCUCUGGCUAGAGUCCGGUAGGGGAGUGUGGAAUUCCUGGUGUAGCGGUGAAAUGCGCAGAUAUCAGGAGGAACACCAGCGGCGAAGGCGGCACUCUGGGCCGGUACUGACACUGAGGAGCGAAAGCAUGGGUAGCAAACAGGAUUAGAUACCCUGGUAGA